UUGAAAGGGAAACGAUUGAAGUCAGUCGUGCUGGCGCGAAAUCAACCUUCUCGUCUUGAGAUCACAUGGCGUGGCGAGCCUCAAAACCGUCACGAAGCGUGAACUCUUGGUGAAAUGGAGCACUUUCGUGUCCGCUGGUUAACAUCAAUUUCGAACGUCAUAAAAAGGCUGGAGGGAUGUGGCUCCUUCGGGAGUGUUAUAACCUUUAGCGGAAUGUGGUGUUCGGGAUUGAGGAUUGCAACGAAUACCUUUAGGGCUGUUCCACCUGGCUUCUCUUUGGUAUCCUGGUGACGACAGCUUGCUGACGUCGUUAGGAUUCGCCUUUGAACAGGUUAGAGUGUGAGCAAAUUCGUUAAGGAUGUUGACGAU
rnacentral:rRNA from 1 species